GUGGGGAAUUUUGGACAAUGGGCGCAAGCCUGAUCCAGCAAUGCCACGUGCAGGAAGAAGGCCUUCGGGUUGUAAACUGCUUUUGUACGGAACGAAACGGUCCGGGUUAAUACCCUGGGCUAAUGACGGUACCGUAAGAAUAAGCACCGGCUAACUACGUGUCAGCAGCCGCGGUAAUACGUAGGGUGCAAGCGUUAAUCGGAAUUACUGGGCGUAAAGCGUGCGCAGGCGGUUUUGUAAGACAGGCGUGAAAUCCCCGGGCUCAACCUGGGAAUUGCGCUUGUGACUGCAAGGCUGGAGUGCGGCAGAGGGGGAUGGAAUUCCGCGUGUAGCAGUGAAAUGCGUAGAUAUGCGGAGGAACACCGAUGGCGAAGGCAAUCCCCUGGGCCUGCACUGACGCUCAUGCACGAAAGCGUGGGGAGCAAACAGGAUUAGAAACCCGGGUAGUCC
rnacentral:rRNA from 1 species